GGGGAAUCCUGGCUUGGCUGAGCCAAAGCAGGAGCCGGCCUCCCUCCUCACGUGGAGCUGGGACAGGAUCACAAGCAGGAUGUUUGGGUGGCACCUCCACCCUUCCCUCUGUGUGGCCCCUGGGACCUGCAUUGCCUCCAGCCUGGGGCCCUCUCCCUCCCCUGUUUGCCUGCUAGAGCCCAGGGUCUCAGCUCCCUUCACCAGGGCUGCACACCUCCAGAAAGCACACCUGGGCGUGGUAGGGCCCGCAGUCCAGAGAACUUUCGAAGUGCAAAGCCCACCGGCGGCACCUGGAAAGGGGCGGGUGGAGUGCAGGCCAGAAGCUGGGGAUUUUUCCUUAAUAACAACCUGGCGCCCUAAUUCAUUGGCGGCUCUGCCUGCCUGCAAGCUGGCUUGCACCCCCUCUCCCCUCCUGGAGAAGCCUUCAUCUUCAAAGCUUUUUGGGAAACAGUUAAUUAACCCCCACAGCCCUACCACCUGCCCAGAAGGCUGCUGGUUCCCUCUUCUCCAUGGGGCGGGGAAAGGGGAGGGCCAGGGAAACUGAAGCCUGAAGAAAGAGUGUGUGGCUGGGACCUGAGAGAUCGCAGGAUCCCAGACAAGGAAGCUGCCUUCCCUUUCAAUCCCCCCCAGCCCCACCCCUCAAAGGGCUGGUGGGACCCCCAGAGGCCAAGCCACACAGCCAAAGUGCUAAGGGUUGAGGAGCUUAUCUUGCAACACAGUUUAUUUUGGCCUCUCAAUAGCUCUGAAAAGGUGGGGACCAGCUUCCUUGCAUCUCAGGAGGCACUACCUUGGCACUGGCAGAAAUUUCUGGAUGCCCUGGUGGAUCUUCAACUUGAAUGAUGCCAGGCCCAUUCUUAGUGACUCCUGAGCUUGGGGCUCUGACACCUGGUCUCCUUGGAGCCAGAAGGCUCUGGCAUAGACGCUGCCUCUAGCCAGCCCUGGCACCCAGACUGGGACAUCAAGGGCCAAGGCUGCGUGGGUCUCAAGGAGCUGCACCCGUGGAGGCCUGGCCCCAUGUCUUGCUCCUGAUGAGCACCAGUGGAUUGGUGCUGUGCUCUUCUCCUCUUCCCUCUCCACCAGCAGCAGUGGCCCAGCUUGUCAUUGGUCUCCUUGGACACUAAGAUCUGUGGGGCAGUGGAAAGAGCACUGAAUUUGGAGCCAGACCUAGGCUCAAAUCCUGGCCCUGCCAUUUGCUGUCUGUGUAUGACUUUGGAUAAGUCGCUUCACCUUUCCAAAUAAGCCUCAGGAUCCUCAUUGGUAAAAGGGGCACAAUAGCACCUUUGCCUCAAAGGAUUGCCUUGAGGGAUGAACAAGAAUAAUAGAUUCAAAAGCGCCUGGUAUAGUUGGCCUUCAAUGAGGAAUAGCUCCCCCUGUGGCCACUCAGUCUCCCCGAAGGAACUCCUAGUCCAAGGAGGCCCAAAUCUCUCUCCCAGGACUUCACGUGGCUCUUUUACUUCCAGCUCCCUGUCCAUUUCUUGCCCGUUGCUGCUUAUUCUGUGCCCUCUUGUUCUCUGAGCCUCUCAGAGUCAUUGUGUCCACCCUUGAUUCCAAAGAGAACCCUCUAUACAGAUGGAGCUCGAGUAGAAGAUGAUCUGCUCUUAGAGCUUUCUAGAGAGGAUGCUGCCCCCUAAAUCUAGGGCCUCAGGUUUCUGUAUCACUUGUCCCUCUAGGUCAGAAACCUGUCCCUCCAACUGCAGCUCUUGUCUGCUCCUUCUUAUCCUGCUGUCAGGGAGAGGGGAACAGCUGUUUCCCAUCCUCCGAAUAAUAAGCCUGCCGUGCAAAUCGCUUUCCAAAAUCAUUAGGCCACAAAGAUUCUAUUCAGCUGCAAUGUUUGCAUUGGCCCCGCCCUCAUUUCCCAGAGACUGAAAGACAUUCACUCGCAGAGACACUGGCACAGAGACACACCCAAGAGACCGAGAGAUCUC
ensembl:lncRNA